UCUUAAAAUUGCUUCUUUUCACACACAAACUCACAUAUGUGUGUUCAUGCACAUAUACUCUCUCUAACCUACAGGUGGGGGCUUAGACCAAAAUUAAGUACAUUUUUGGCAAAGCUCUGUUUAAACUGUGACAUUUCAUUUCAGCAGACUAAUGCAAAGCAAUUUGUCUUUGUAUUGAGCAAGUGAGAGGCUAAUGGGGAACACAGGCCGUUGGAGAUAUAGUACACCCUGAAGUCCUAAGCAAUCUCUCCAGCCUGAUUUUGCUUUUGGAAACUGCUUAACUGUUUUCAAAUCCCAAUCCGAAAUACUAUUUGGCAGUAUUGAAGAUUGAUUAUUUUUGAGACCUGAACAAAGUAUAUAAUAGCAAUACCAUCCUUGAAAUUCCUAGUGUUUCUUGUGACCCAUGUAAAUUCCACUCCUUUCUUCCUGUAGUGAUUAUAGGCACCUUUUUCAUGACUGUUGAAUUAAGCACCAAAUCUGUUUGUUAAUAGCAUGAAACCAUGUGUUGUCCUCUCUAAACAACGCAGUGGGGAGGAAAACAGUACAAAUACCAGUCUAAAGAAGCCAGAGUAUGAAUGUCAAGGUAAAAAGGAGAGGGCAUGCCAUUCCAUGAUAAGACCAGGAAUAGAAACUCCAUUGCCAUUGGAGAACAGUCAACAGCAAGCCAUACGAUUAGGAUGGAGAAUUAAAUACCAAGAGGAACAAUGACUACUUACGGUGUGACCUUUGCUAGCAAAAGCUAAACCAACACAGCUAAGGCAACAGAGUUAGCCUUCCCCCUCCGUGUGACUGAAAUUCCUACUAAGAAACAUGAAUCAGUAGCAGUACCAAUUGUGUUAUCAGUGCCAGAAAGGGGUUUGAGGAUGCUUUUUAUGGUUUGAGCAAGAAUGUCUGAGGUUUAGGAAAAUGGGAUGACCAGGCUCUGCAGGACCUCUUCUUCAAGACUUUCCCUUUUGUGUUCAAAGAAACAUGGAAUUUCAGCCUCUGAAAGCCCAAAGAACCUUAAUUCAAGUAUUUGUACUCACGAGGAAUGCAUGAGAAAAACAUUAUCUUGAAGAUAGCAGUGGGAUUUGAGCACCAUGGUCUUAAUGUUAUCGCAUCUCAUCAGCAUAUGUAUGAUUGCAGAGUCAUUUUCUAUGAAAAGUAAACGCGAAUCAAAUGUUUCAUGAAACUUGGAACAAGACAUGGAUCAGAUCACAGAAUCAAAGAAUGACCUGAGCUGGAAGUGAUCCACGAGGAUUAUUAAGUCCAACUCCCAUGCCUGCAUAAGACAACCCCAAAAUUUUCUUCAUGGGUCUGAAUGUAUUGUCCAAAUGUUUAUUGAAUAUUGUCAGGCUUGGUGCCAUGACUGCUCUCCUCAGGAGCCUGUUCCAGUGCUCCAUCACCCUCUGAGUGAAGAACCUUUUCCUAACAUCCAACUUAAACCUCCUCUGGCACCUCCUCCUGCCCUUUCCUUGGGUCCUAUCACUGGUCACCAGACAGAAGAGAUCAGCACCAGCUCCUCCACCUUCCCUUAUGAGGAAGCAGUAAAUUGCCAUGAUAUGCCCCUCUUCCCCAGGCUGAACAGAGCAAGUAAGAUAAUACCGACCAUAUUGAAGUACUAAGUGAAAUAAGGCAGGAAAGUGAAGUACCAGAGGGAAGAACAGAGUUCCUGAUAGACAAAAAUAAAUCAAUCUUGACUCACUCUAGCUAUAUGUCUUUUUUGACCAAACAGAUUAAUGCAGAAAGAAAGUGGAUGACAAAAGAAAGAAGUGUCUGAACAGAGAACAGUGGAAAGAGCCACAGCUAACUGUCAUAGUGGCUGCUGACUGGAUGUGGAAGGAAGUGGACGUAAGGAAGUCAAGGACAGAACAUACUGCUUAGGUCACAACUGAACACUCUGCAUUGCAUGUUUUCACAGCAGAAAUAGUGAAGAAUUAUUGCCAAGUUGGAAAUAUUUUGUGAUGGAACAUAUCUUAUCAAAGCAUUUGUAGGUCCUGACUACGCUAUUCUUGCCUAUGUGGUAUGGUGGUUCUGUACUGUUUCUGUUGUUCAAACUGAGCUUCAUGAUUUUACAACAGAGCCAACAGAGAAUUUAUAUUUGGACAGUGAACAUAUCCUCUCUGAGUCCCACAGUGAAGCAAUAGAGUUUGCCUUGUUAAUGGAAAAUUCAGAAGAAAACUGGAAGUCCUUCACUAUACUUUUUUCCUUCUUCAUGAUGUUUUAGUGUAUUCAAGAGGUGUUUAAAAACAUAUUUGUAUAGAUCUCAGCUAUUUUCCUUUCUAUUAAAGUUGUGAAAGAUUAAUUGUAUGGUAGUUAACAUCCAUAAGACAGUUUCAGGAGUACAUUCUAAAGGUAAUGGAUUCAUUACCUCACCUAUAAUUUUAGAAAUAUAUAUACUUUAGACAUAUAUAACCUGAGUUUAUACAACUAACUGAAGGAGAAAAUUGUGGGUUAUCACGUCUUGUCAAAGACAGGUGUUCGCUUACAAUCCAUGUAAGAUUCCUAGUUUAAUGAAAUGAUUAGCAUUUAAGAUGUAGCUGAGUGGCUUGAUUGGCUUAAGCAAUUCCUUUAUAGUUUGCCAGGCAUUGUGUAAGGAGAUUAAGCAAUUGUUUAAGGUCGUCAGUGACUAUUAGGUUUAUAAGUGUUUAAAAUAUAGAUUUUUUUUUAGUGCUCAGUGUUACAGCAUCAAAAUCUUUCUACAGGUCAAGCUUGCUCUCUAAUAUUAGAAAAUGACAGAACCAAAAGGUACAUAUGCAUGGGACCAUGUAGACAAUUCUAAACUCUUUUUGACUAUACUAUUUACUAACAGGUAUGCAGGUGUUCCAACCUCUGACGCAAAUAAGUCAAGCCUUUUAACAAGUCCCACUUUUUGCUAGUUUAGGAACACCUAGAACGUUUGAAAGUGAAGGACUGAAAGAGACAAUUUUUUAAAUGGUCAACACAAAAUGUCUGUCUAAGUGUUGUAAAUGGCUGAAACAUUUUGCUAAACUAAUCAUCUUUACUAGAACAAUCUGUCAUUGCAAGUUUUGAACCCUACCAGUUGAAGUUUGGCAGAGCUGUGUGUACCUGCCUUCAAUGAAAGUCUUUUCUACAAUUAUUGCUUAUGAUGCAAUCUCAGCUCUAUAGAAAAUUGUACCCUGUUUCUUUAAAUAACUAAUCCAAUGUAUGUUCCAAAUAGAAAUACUAUCAGCAAAAUCUGAAAUACACAUAAUUAUUAUCUGGGUUCUUUUGAAAUAUACUGAUAUUUAAGAGCUAAUAAACCUUGGCUUGAAAAAGAGGCUCGCUCUUUUUGGGAACUGUGUUUUCCCCAUACUCUAAGCCAUUGACGCUCUAAGAAAGAAACAUAUGUUCUUACAGGCUGACAUUUGGAAUUAAUGGUUUUUAGGUUUCUGAGUUGUUUCCUUGCCAACUAUGACUCAAAAAUAUGGAUAAAACUAUUUUUGACUUAAAUAACUUUGUGCAAAUAUUUUUCAUAUUGAAUUCACUCCUGACAAUGAUAUUGAGUACUGAAGAAGGGUUGUGUAUCUCUAUAAUGCUUCCAUUUUUUAACCUAUUUGAAAUGCCAUCAGUAUUUGUUGUAAUUCUAACUGGAAAUCAAUGAUGACAGCGAGUCAUUAAAUGUAGUAACUAUUUUACAAGGUCAUUGCUUAAACUUUUUUAACCUUUCUAAUAUGAAACUACUUUGCUAUUAUUAGCUCAUUCUUUUGGCAUUUAACUUUUGCUUUUACUUUCUAAAUGCAUUACUUGUCGAAACUAAAGUAGUUGAGUGUUUUGAUGAUCCUUCACAAUGCAACAAGCUUUUUAUCAGACCUUGUUAAUGAAUCUUUUGAAAUGACCCUUGAUUUUGAAACUUGAUUACUGAGGUGUAUGAAAUGCUUAUGAAAUGAAUAGUAGUAAUGAAAUAUAAUACAAUUGUGAUAAUUCUUUUGUUAGUCUAGUCUCUCUGGCUUCACAGAUUGGUUUAUUUCCAUUAAAAUCAGAUAGUCAGACUUAUUUACAUCAACAAAGGUUUUAGCUUCCUUUUGUGUCACAUAAGUCAGACCCCUCAGAGUGGCUUGCAGUAAACUAUCAAGGAAAGAGACCUGUUCAUCUCUACAGAAGCAGAAUAGCAUACAUUGCCUGGGUAGCUGCUUCUGAGAGAGUGAAAAUCAUUUGAAUUUUUUUUUUUUGGCAAAAUUACUGUAAAGUGCCAUAGGAGUGUUGGCAGAUGCAGCUUUGUGUGCUAGCAUCUGGCUCUGAUUCACAGUGAGAUGAUAAAAACAGGGAAUAAUGAAUAGCUGUUUUGCCUCUGUGGGAUGACAUCAGGACUGUGUGCUGAUAACGUCUUCAUUAAGAGAUCAGAGUUUGACCGAAUAGACACAGUUUUGGGGUGAGAAAGGACUCAUACACAAGAACUUUGCUGAACUGACAUCAGUGAAAGCCUUCUCAUAGUUUUACAUAACUGGAUAGAAAUGUAAAAAAGCAAUACUAAGAUUCCAAAUGAGAGCUAAAUCUAUUUCAAGAAUGACACAUUAAUAAAUUAAUUAGAAAUUUUUCAAUAAUUAAAAUUUAAUUUUCAGUUUCUUAUACAUAUAUUUAUAAUAACUCUUCAUUACUUCUUUUC